UCCAGCCGGCGAACGCGGCCCCGCACGGGGGU
rnacentral:sRNA from 1 species